UACGUAGGUGGCAAGCGUUGUCCGGAAUUAUUGGGCGUAAAGCGCGCGCAGGUGGUUUCUUAAGUCUGAUGUGAAAGCCCACGGCUCAACCGUGGAGGGUCAUUGGAAACUGGGGAACUUGAGUGCAGGAGAGAAGAGUGGAAUUCCACGUGUAGCGGUGAAAUGCGUAGAGAUGUGGAGGAACACCAGUGGCGAAGGCGACUCUUUGGCCUGUAACUGACACUGAGGCGCGAAAGCAUGGGGAGCGAACAGGG
rnacentral:rRNA from 1 species